ACCAAUCAGGAGAAGCCGCGUCA
rnacentral:siRNA from 1 species